CAAAGAUAAACUUGACACCCAGUUACAUCUCCUUAUCACUUAUCUUGUCCAGUCAAAUUUAGACUACUGGACGGAGAACUGAUAAGGGCCUGUGAUUGGCCAGCGGCUAAUCGUUGGAA
rnacentral:pre_miRNA from 10 species